rnacentral:rRNA from 1 species
GCCCUCCUCGAUAUUUAAAUAAUGCUGCGGGUCUAUACAUGCAGUCGAGCGGACCUUUUAAAGCUUGCUUUUGAAAGGUCAGCGGCGGACGGGUGAGUAACACGUGGGCAACCUGCCUGUAAGACUGGGAUAACUUCGGGAAACCGGAGCUAAUACCGGAUAAUAUAAGGAACCUCCUGGUUCUUUAUUGAAAGAUGGUUUCGGCUAUCACUUACAGAUGGGCCCGCGGCGCAUUAGCUAGUUGGUGAGGUAACGGCUCACCAAGGCGACGAUGCGUAGCCGACCUGAGAGGGUGAUCGGCCACACUGGGACUGAGACACGGCCCAGACUCCUACGGGAGGCAGCAGUAGGGAAUCUUCCACAAUGGACGAAAGUCUGAUGGAGCAACGCCGCGUGAGCGAUGAAGGCCUUCGGGUCGUAAAGCUCUGUUGUUAGGGAAGAACAAGUGCGAGAGUAACUGCUCGCACCUUGACGGUACCUAACCAGAAAGCCACGGCUAACUACGUGCCAGCAGCCGCGGUAAUACGUAGGUGGCAAGCGUUGUCCGGAAUUAUUGGGCGUAAAGCGCGCGCAGGUGGUCCUUUAAGUCUGAUGUGAAAGCCCACGGCUCAACCGUGGAGGGUCAUUGGAAACUGGGGGGACUUGAGUGCAGAAGAGGAAAGUGGAAAUUCCAAGUGUAGCGGUGAAAUGCGUAGAGAUUUGGGAGGAACACCAGUGGCGAAAGCGACUUUCUGGUCUGUAACUGACACUGAGGCGCGAAAGCGUGGGGAGCAAACAGGAUUAGAUACCCUGGUAGUCCACGCCGUAACGAUGAGUGCUAAGUGUUUAGAGGGUUUCCGCCCCUUUUAGUGCUGCAGCUAACGCAUUAGCACUCCGCCUGGGGGAGUACGGUCGCAGACUGAAACUCAAGGGAAUUUGACGGGGCCCGCACAAGCGGUGGGAGCAUGUGGAUUAACUCGAAGCACGGCGAGAACCUUUACAGGUCUUUGACAUCGUCUGACCCUCCUAAAGAAUACGGAACGUUCCCGUUCCGGGACCUGACUGACAGGUGGCUGCAUGGAAUGUUGCGUUCAAGC